AACGAACGCUGGCGGCAUGCCUAACACAUGCCAGUCGAACGAGACCUUCGGGUCUAGUGGCGCACGGGUGCGUAACGCGUGGGAACCUGCCCUUAGGUUCGGAAUAACUCCCCGAAAGGGGUGCUAAUACCGGAUAAUGUCUUCGGACCAAAGAUUUAUCGCCUUUGGAUGGGCCCGCGUUGGAUUAGCUAGUUGGUAGGGUAAAAGCCUACCAAGGCGACGAUCCAUAGCUGGUCUGAGAGGAUGAUCAGCCACACUGGGACUGAGACACGGCCCAGACUCCUACGGGAGGCAGCAGUGGGGAAUAUUGGACAAUGGGCGAAAGCCUGAGCCAGCAAUGCCGCGUGAGUGAUGAAGGCCUUAGGGUUGUAAAGCUCUUUUACCCGGGAUGAUAAUGACAGUACCGGGAGAAUAAGCUCCGGCUAACUCCGUG
rnacentral:rRNA from 1 species